AGCAGAGAUGCUUUGGUGCCUUCGGGAACUCUGAGACAGGUGCUGCAUGGCUGUCGUCAGCUCGUGUUGUGAAAUGUUGGGUUAAGUCCCGCAACGAGCGCAACCCUUUAUCCUUUGUUGCCAGCGGUCCGGCCGGGAAACUCAAAGGAGACUGCCAGUGAUAAACUGGAGGAAGGUGGGGAUGACGUCAAGUCAUCAUGGCCCUUACGAGUAGGGCUACACACGUGCUACAAUGGCGCAUACAAAGAGAAGCGACCUCGCGAGAGCAAGCGGACCUCAUAAAGUGCGUCGUAGUCCGGAUUGGAGUCUGCAACUCGACUCCAUGAAGUCGGAAUCGCUAGUAAUCGUAGAUCAGAAUGCUACGGUGAAUACGUUCCCGGGCCUUGUACACACCGCCCGUCACACCAUGGGAGUGGGUUGCAAAAGAAGUAGGUAGCUUAACCUUCGGGAGGGCGCUUACCACUUUGUGAUUCAUGACUGGGGUGAAGUCGUAACAAGGUAAGCGUAGCGAG
rnacentral:rRNA from 1 species